rnacentral:rRNA from 1 species
UACGUAGGGUGCAAGCGUUAAUCGGAAUUACUGGGCGUAAGGCGUGCGCAGGCGGCUUUGCAAGUCAGAUGUGAAAUCCCCGGGCUUAACCUGGGAACUGCAUUUGUGACUGCAUGGCUAGAGUGCGGCAGAGGGGGAUGGAAUUCCGCGUGUAGCAGUGAAAUGCGUAGAUAUGCGGAGGAACACCGAUGGCGAAGGCAAUCCCCUGGGCCUGCACUGACGCUCAUGCACGAAAGCGUGGGGAGCAAACAGG